AGGAAAGUGUUUGCAGAUGUUAGGUCAAAAAGCCAUUCUUCCAUAGCUCUCUUCAUAGGGCUGGAAGUCUUUUUCGCAACCACAGCUAUCACCAUCUGGUGGCCUUCAUAUGAAGGUUUAUGGCACUUUCACAUUGGUUUUCGUGAUUCAUCCCCUGCUGGCCAUGAAAGAAAAGAACUCUCUCUCUCUGCAGACCAGGCUUUAAUUGUGUGAUUGAGAAAGUGUAGCAUCACUCCAUUAAAGCCAGUCUGCCUCAAAUGGCUGCUCUCCGGCUGACACCAGAGGGACCUCUUAUAGCCUGCUGUGGUCACCGCGCUGUGUCCCCUCCAAAGACGCUGAUGCAAACCUGAUCCUCAUUUAGAUGGCAGACAAGGCUUUUGAACACAGAACAGCCUGUAGUCUCUGUGGACUGCUGCAGCACUGCAAAAGGACCUAAAUGAAGGCACCAGACAAUGUAACAACCGUGAGAUCCCGGCACUCGCAGACAGGCCAGAGAAGUCUAAUAAACACACACACAAUCACUGUCAUUAACACGACUGUGAGUUCAAAUCUUCUUUGUCCUCACAGGACACGUUUAAAUUUCUCGUAUCGGGGAAGAAUCCGAUUUUCUGUUUCUGUGCAGGAUCGCAUCUAUACAGCAGCUCUGCGUUGUUGAAUCAGAUUGAAGUAAACCACC
ensembl:lncRNA